rfam:Schistosoma rodhaini strain Burundi genome assembly, scaffold: SROB_scaffold0016231
CCAGCUGACGAGUCCCGAAUAGGACGAAACGCGCGUCCUGG